UACGUAGGGUGCAAGCGUUGUCCGGAAUCAUUGGGCGUAAAGCGCGCGUAGGUGGCCAUUUAAGUCCGCUGUGAAAGUCAAAGGCUCAACCUUUGAAAGCCGGUGGAUACUGGAUGGCUAGAGUACGGAAGAGGCGAGUGGAAUUCCUGGUGUAGCGGUGGAAUGCGCAGAUAUCAGGAGGAACACCAAUAGCGAAGGCAGCUCGCUGGGACGUUACUGACACUGAGGCGCGAAAAGCGUGGGGGAGCGAACAGG
rnacentral:rRNA from 1 species